rnacentral:rRNA from 1 species
UACGAGAGGCCCAAACGUUAUUCGGAAUUACUGGGCUUAAAGAGUUCGUAGGCGGCAUGAAAAGCAGGGUGUGAAAGCCCUCGGCUCAACCGAGGAAUUGCGCUCUGAACUGUCGUGCUAGAGGAAUCUAGAGGUGAGCGGAACUGAUGGUGGAGCGGUGAAAUGCGUUGAUAUCAUCAGGAACACCGGAGGCGAAGGCGGCUCACUGGGGAUUUUCUGACGCUGAGGAACGAAAGCCAGGGGAGCGAACAGG